UCCCUGGUAGUCCAGUGGCUAAGACAUUGGCUCCCAAUCCAAGGUGCCAGGGUUCAAUCCCUGGUCAGGGAG
rnacentral:tRNA from 1 species